UGGACAGAUUAUUGUAUUUGACUGUAUUCACAGCGUGAAACAGGGGAAUACACUGUUUUUAAACGGAAAGUGAAUCAAUUAACAUAAUAGACUCCU
rfam:Nicotiana sylvestris Nsyl_contig29278, whole genome shotgun sequence.